UACAGGGGGUGCAAACGUUGCUCGGAAUCAUUGGGCGUAAAGCGCACGUAGGCGGUUUGUUAUGUCGGAUGUGAAAGCCCUUGGCUCAACUGAGGAAGUGCAUCCGAAACUGGCAAGCUAGAGUACUAAAGAGGGUCGCGGAAUUCCCGGUGUAGAGGUGAAAUUCGUAGAUAUCGGGAGGAACACCGGUGGCGAAGGCGGCGACCUGGGUAGAUACUGACGCUGAGGUGCGAAAGCGUGGGGAGCAAACGGGG
rnacentral:rRNA from 1 species